rnacentral:rRNA from 1 species
GGGAGGCAGCAGUGAGGAAUAUUGGGCAAUGCCCGCAAGGGUGACCCAGCAACGCCGCGUGGAGGAUGAAGGUCGUAAGAUCGUAAACUCCUGUUAGAGGGGAAGAACACCACCGAUUGGAUCGGUGUUUGACUGUACCCUCAGAGAAAGCCCCGGCUAACUACGUGCCAGCAGCCGCGGUAAUACGUAGGGGGCAAGCGUUGUCCGGAUUUACUGGGUGUAAAGGGCGCGCAGGCGGGAUAGCAAGUCAGAGGUGAAAUCCUACAGCUUAACUGUAGAACUGCCUUUGAUACUGUUAUUCUUGAGUUCGGGAGAGAGAGACGGAAUUCCAGGUGUAGUGGUGAAAUACGUAGAUAUCUGGAAGAACACCAGUUGCGAAGGCGGUCUCUUGGUCCGAUACUGACGCUGAGGCGCGAAAGCGUGGGGAGCAAACAGGAUUAGAUACCC